rnacentral:rRNA from 1 species
CCUANGGGAGGCAGCAAUCAGGAAUUUUCCGCAAUGGACGAAAGUCUGACGGAGCGACGCCGCGUGGAGGAAGAAGGCCUUCGGGUUGUAAACUCCUUUUAUGUGGGAACAAGUUCUGAGUGUACCACAUGAAUAAGGUGCUGCAAACUACGUGCCAGAAGCAUCGGUGAUACGUAGGCACCAAACUUUAUCCGGAUUUACUGGGCGUAAAGAGAAGCGUAGGUGUCUUGGCAAGUCUUAUGUUAAAUCUAUCGGCUUAACCGAUAAACCGCGUGAGAAACUAUCAAGAUUGAGUCAGCUAGGGGGAGACGGAAUUUCCAGUGUAGCAGUGAAAUGCGUUGAUAUUGGAAAGAACACCAAUGGCGAAGGCAGUCUCCUGGGGCUUGACUGACACUAAGGCUCGAAAGUGUGGGGAGCAAAACGGAUUAGAUACCCCANUANUC